CAGCAAGAAGUCAGAACGGCUUGAUUUAUGCUUUAAAUCAAUUGACCUUUUGUUGCGAUGUUGUGUUUGCAAACUCGUAUUUCGAGUUCGGUAGGUUUCUACCAGUUUUGUUUCCAUAGGAAACGAAACAUAUACUUCCUGUAUUUAUUUUGACCUGUCUGUCAAAUAUUUAGCACCGCCUCGAUGGCGGUGUUUUUUUAU
rnacentral:other from 1 species